AGCGGGGUGGGGAAGCCAGGUUAUCCCGGCGGGCUCAUAACCCGCAGAGCGGUUACUGCGUUUUAUAAACCAGCCGUAUGUUCAAAUCAACCCCCCGCUA
rnacentral:tRNA from 2 species